UACAGAGACUGCGAGCGUUAUUCGGAUUCACUGGGCGUAAAGGGCGCGUAGGCGGCAAUUCAAGUCAGCUGUGAAAUCUCCGGGCUUAACUCGGAACGGUCAGCUGAUACUGCUUUGCUAGAGUGCGGAAGGGGCAAUCGGAAUUCUCGGUGUAGCGGUGAAAUGCGUAGAUAUCGAGAGGAACACCUGAGGUGAAGACGGGUUGCUGGGCCGACACUGACGCUGAGGCGCGAAAGCCAGGGUAGCAAACGGG
rnacentral:rRNA from 1 species